UGGAGGUGAUGAACUGGCUUAGCCUGACCUUGUGGAGUGGAGGCAAAAAACUGAUUUAAUGAGCCUGAUCC
ensembl:snoRNA small nucleolar RNA, C/D box 57